GUGUCAGCAGCCGCGGUAAUACGUAGGGUGCAGGCGUUAAUCGGAAUUACUGGGCGUAAAGCGUGCGCAGGCGGCUCCUUAAGUCAGAUGUGAAAUCCCCGGGCUUAACCUGGGAACUGCGUUUGAAACUGUGGAGCUAGAGUGUGGAAGAGGGGGGUGGAAUUCCAGGUGUAGCAGUGAAAUGCGUAGAUAUCUGGAGGAACACCGAUGGCGAAGGCAGCCCCCUGGGCUAACACUGACGCUCAUGCACGAAAGCGUGGGGAGCAAACAGGAUUAGAUACCCUGGUAGUCCACGCCCUAAACGAUGUCAACUGGUUGUCGGGGAAGUUUUUCCUUGGUAACGAAGCUAACGCGUGAAGUUGACCGCCUGGGGAGUACGGCCGCAAGGUUAAA
rnacentral:rRNA from 1 species